rnacentral:rRNA from 1 species
UACGAAGGGUGCAAGCGUUACUCGGAAUUACUGGGCGUAAAGCGUGCGUAGGUGGUUCGUUAAGUCUGUCGUGAAAGCCCCGGGCUCAACCUGGGAAUGGCGAUGGAUACUGGCGGGCUAGAGUGCGGUAGAGGAGAGUGGAACUCCCGGUGUAGCAGUGAAAUGCGUAGAGAUCGGGAGGAACAUCAGUUGCGAAGGCGGCUCUCUGGACCAGCACUGACACUGAGGCACGAAAGCGUGGGGAGCAAACAGG